rnacentral:rRNA from 1 species
AACGUAGGUGGCGAGCGUUAUCCGGAUUUACUGGGCGUAAAGCGUGCGCAGGCGGUUCUGAAAGUCAGCUGUGAAAGCCCCGGGCUUAACCUGGGAACUGCGGUUGAAACUACAGGACUAGAAUCUGGCAGAGGGGGGUGGAAUUCCACGUGUAGCGUGAAAUCGUAGAGAUGUGGAGGAACACCGAUGGCGAAGGCCAGCCCCCGGGCUGAGAU